rnacentral:rRNA from 1 species
AUUGAACGCUGGCGGCAGGCCUAACACAUGCAAGUCGAGCGGAUGAAGAGAGCUUGCUCUCUGAUUUAGCGGCGGACGGGUGAGUAAUGCCUAGGAAUCUGCCUGGUAGUGGGGGAUAACGUCCGGAAACGGGCGCUAAUACCGCAUACGUCCUACGGGAGAAAGCAGGGGACCUUCGGGCCUUGCGCUAUCAGAUGAGCCUAGGUCGGAUUAGCUAGUUGGUGAGGUAAUGGCUCACCAAGGCUACGAUCCGUAACUGGUCUGAGAGGAUGAUCAGUCACACUGGAACGGAAACACGGGCCAGACUCCGACGGGAGGGAGCAGUGGGGAAUAUUGGACAAUGGGCUAAAGCCUGAUCCAGCCAUGCCGCGUGUGUGAAGAAGGUCUUCGGAUUGUAAAGCACUUUAAGUUGGGAGGAAGGGCAGUAAGUUAAUACCUUGCUGUUUUGACGUUACCGACAGAAUAAGCACCGGCUAACUUCGUGCCAGCAGCCGCAGUAAGAC